rnacentral:miRNA from 1 species
UGACAUUUCAGAUGUUUUGAACUACAUCUCCCCUAAUGCUUUUACUAUUACAAUGAUAGCAAAGCAUUAGGGGAGAUGUAGUUCAAAACAUCUGGACUGCUG